GAUGAACGCUGGCGGCGUGCCUAACACAUGCAAGUCGGACGGUGCCUUCGGGCACAGCGGCGCACGGGUGAGGAACACGUAGCCAACCUGCCCUGGAGCGCGGGAUAACGCCCCGAGAGGGGUGCUAAGACCGCCUACGCUCGCCGGAUGUAGAGGCCGGUGAGGAAAAACGAAAGUUGCUCUGGGAGGGGCUGCGGCCCAUCAGGUAGUUGGUGGGGUAACGCCUACCAAGCCGACGACGGGCGGGGUCUGAGAGGAUGACUCCCCACACUGGGACUGAGACACGGCCCAGACGUCCUACGGGAGGCAGCAGUGAGGAAUCUUGCACAAGUGGGGGCAACCCUGAUGCAGCGACGCCGCGUGGG
rnacentral:rRNA from 1 species